UCUUACCAAGACGGGAGGCAGAAGUCCACGCUCCUCCUGCUCCUCCCUUCCCUCCAGCCCACAUCCUUUUGGGGAAAGUGCAGGCCCUUCUCAGGGGCCAGCGCUGCCGAGCAGGGUGGGAAGCGUGGCUGUCAGCACUGGCCCUCUGAAUUUAGGCGAAUGUGAUGGCAGCCUCUUUCUUUCAAAGGGGUGUACUCUGGCAGUGGCCACUGUUUGCUGGGUCUUUCCAUGUUACACAGAACGCGGCAUGAAGAGCUUGAGUCAGCUUUGCGCCUGCCCAGGGGCAGCAGGCUUCUAAAAGUCUCUCCCUAGACUCUUUCCAGGAGGGGGAUGAGGAUGCAGACUUAGGUCUCCCUGCUGGUGUGCAUUUAGUGAUUUGGAGGGAAAGACAACACCUUAUUUUGAUUCCAGUGGGAGAGUCUGUAGUUUGGGUUUACAGUGCUUUUUCUCAGCACACCAGGAUUUUUAUAAAGCUUCCCUAUAUUGAGCCCCUAGGCAGCAGGAUCCCUUCACUGUUUUCUAAAGUUGCCUGAACUUAAGAAUUACCAGGGGCAAUUAAAAAAAAAACAAAAAAAACCAGACAGACUCCUAUGCCCGUGACAGAUAUGAGUGGGACCUAAGAAUUCCGUAUUGGGUCAGUUGGGGGAAACAGAUGCCGGGGAGCUCGAUUCCUAUUGUCAGGGGUUCAGGAAACACUAAGUACAGUGGUUGCUCAGUGUGAAUCAAAAUCACCUGGAGGGCGUGUGAGACCACAGAUUGCUGGGCCCCACCCUGAACUGUUGACAAGGCAUUUCUAACAGGUUGCCAGGUGAUGCUGAUGCUGCUUGUCUGGGAAGCACCUUUGAGCAUCACUGGUGUAGUAGGAGGUGCACUCGGCUGGGUGUUGGAAGAAUGGAAAACCUCCAUUGGUUUUAUCACCUCCAUCUUGUGACCUUAGACAAGUCAUUUAUCUCUGCACUGAAAAAUAGGGACUGAUAUCAAGAGUUUGUGAAGAUAAAAUGCUUCCCAAAAAAGAGGGCGGGGGGAUACAAAAUAGCCAAGUCUUAUUAUUAACAACAGAUUGGACCAGGAUGGAAUCCUUGUGUUGAAGACAAAGGGCCAAGGCACAGGACAGAGGGAGGGUAAGACAGGGCCUGCAGGCCAGCCUGGCACCACCCAUUUGGCAAAGCUUACAGCCGGGAGUUGGAGGAAGAGGUUUAAUCUACAGGUGCCUCCCUCAGCAAACCUGAGUCUCUAAUAGGAUCCACAUGGUGGCCCAGAGGCCAAGGGCUUCUCUAGCCGGGUGUCACAGAGCAAAGCCUGUAAGCUUCCUGCCUCUGGAGGAGGGGGAUCUUUGGGGCCAGGUUCUGGCAUGUUCUCUGUGGCCCACUCUUCUUCUGGCUCUGCUGUGGUUUGGGAUGCUCCCCACCAGUGCAUUCUCCUGGCUAGGCCCCUAUUCACUGACGUCCAGGCCCCUGGCUCUUAGGAAAUUCUUGCCUCUUCAAGAAAAUCCUUUUCACAGUGAUCCUGGGACCCACCUCUCAUGGGGGAAAACGAAUCUUCUAGCUUCAUCUUUGGUUAUGGUUUAAAAUGCUCUCAAAGUUCCUAAUGAUUUGAAGGGCUGGGGGCCAAAUGAGGAACUCAGUUUUGAACACAGAAGCUAUUAAUGUCAUCAUUAAUAACAGUAAUAAUAAUAGCAAUUACUAUUUACUGAUAUCUUAAUUUAUUCCAAGAGCAGCGAUAAAUGCCUUACAUACAUGACCUCUUUUAGGCUGCCCAAGAGGUACCUCUUAUUAUCUCCUUUCUGCAGAUGAGGAGACAGGAGCUCAGAAAGGUUAAGCCAACACCUGAGAUCACACAGCUAUUAAAAGGCAGAGGUGUGAUUUGAACCCAGGCUGUUCCAUCCAAAGCCCGUUAUUGAUAUUAUUUUUAGUUUCAAGUCAGCCUUUCAGGAAAGCUUUGGAAUAGUCGGAAGCCUUGCUUGCCCCACUAACUGGGCCACUAGCAGCAGAAACAAUGGGAAGGGCGUUCUCUGAGCUGCCCCGGACAUUCAGGCGAGUUAUAGAUGCUGGGAAAAGAAACAUUGCGAUGACUGCUCCUGUGGCAGUGACUUCCAGACCAAAGCCACGCUCGUAAACAUUCUUUGGCCUCGUCACAGAGUCCAGGACGUGUAAUUGGCAGUUGAGCUUUACGAGGGCAUGGGGCAGGAAACCAGCUGUUGGCAGUGUGUGUGUAAACAGCAUGCAUGGGAGGGCACUGGGUUUCUUGUGGACCUUUCAAGGGAAAGACUCCCGUCCUACACUGCAGGCGAGAAAUCACUUUGCUCUUUGGGUGAGAGAUGCAAGCUCUGAGACCUGGCCUGCUGGUGUGUGGGGAGAGCUCUGCCCUCAAGGCCCCCUCCUGCCAGGCCCCCUCCAUUCAGCCUUCACUGCCCUCUGCCAAUUUUGUAAGCAGGAAAUACUAGGAAAGUAAAGGAAGAAGAGGUACCUCAAAAGGCAGAAACAGUUAAGGAAUGCAGGGUUGCAUCUAUCCAAUAGGAUGCUUUUGUGCAAAUUAGAAAAAGCACCUCCUCAAUAUGCUUUGCUGUCAUCUGCCAGAAACUUGUCCUAUGGCAGAUACACAUCUCCCAUCACUGCCAUCUGACUGGUGCCCACUAGGGUUGUGCAGCACAUGCCCUGUAGCCCUGAAGGAGCCUUCGCACCUUCUGCGGGGGUGCAGAGCUCAAAGAACCCAACCUUCCUCCUCCUUCAUUCCCCACUUGCAAAUCUCCUCCCCUUAGCUGUGGUCCUUCUACAGUGAGGUCAGGCUCCCUGUCCUGCCACGCAAUAGCAUGAUGCUGAUGGCCUCCUAGGCACCCCACCCCCACCCUCAAAUGGGAUAAAGGCAAAACAAUCCAUCUAUCGAAGGAUUUUUUUGGGGGGGAGCACUUCCCAGUAUCACAGGCAGCAAAGAAAGGUAGUUUUGAUGUCAAAUUGUUGGAAUCUCCAAAUAUUUUCAAAAGUUCAGGAAGCUAAGGGUACAGGAAGUGUAGGCCCUGAGAAGAUGAUAUUGUUCAUGAGACCAGGGAGGCCAAGGAAGGAAGGAACUGUAUGAUGUGCUGGGAGAGAGCAAUCAUGCCCACCCCAGAGCUAGGCUUUCUCCCUGCAGUGGUUUGUAUUCCCGGCUCCUUACAGCCAUUCUUUCUGUGGGUCUGCUGCUUCCAGGAGUGGCUAUGCGUCUGCAUCCGAGGACUUUGUCCCUUAUGACUUGGAGGUCCAAGUUCCUGGAAGAGUCAUCGGAGGGAACAGUGGCUUUGGAAAAGCAACUACCCCUGAAAUAGCCAAGUGGGGUGAGCAGCCUGUACCGUGCAGCCAGCCUGUGGCCUGCCCACACUGGGGAGAUUGCCCUAUGUCACAGGCAGGUCAGGAAGGGCCCGGCUAGCACAGCCAGGAGUCUUGGACAGUGGUCCCGUGGUGAUCGGCACAGCUGCCAGCUUUCUAAGCUGUGCAUCGAGGCGGACAGAGCAAGUAACUGAAGGAACCUUUCCUCGAUACUUGAUUAGCGCACAAGAGAGCUUGUGGGCUGGCCACACAUCACAAUGUUUUCUGAUUAAGAGCAGUGAGGGGCUCCAGCCAACCCUGGGCAUCAGAGUCACCAGUGGAACUUAAAAAAUGUAGAUACUUGUCCCUAGCCCAUAUCUCCUCAAUGAGAAUGGCAGGUGGGGAGGGUGGAUGGGGGGAAAUUGGGAGUCCACUGCAAUUUGGCUGUGGACCCUCGUUAAGAACCAGCGCCCUCAGAAUAACUGGAGAGGGGAGGGGUUGACCUUCCUUCCUCCUUCCUGGUGUCCGGCCCGCAGGGUUAGAGCAGCUGGGCGUGGCCUCCUAUUUCUCUUCCCUAACCUUGGUUCUGUGAAGAGGCUUGCCGGGUGCCCCAUAAAUUAUUUAAUCAGCCAAAGUCUUCCUCUGGGUAAAUGCCAGAAUUUCCUGCAAGAACUCAGCUGCCCUGGGUCACCACAUGGCACUGUGGUGGCUAGAAGAGCCUCUCCAGAGCCUCUUCUCCAGGAAAAAUUGAUGUUCCAGCAGAAGUUGGAAAAAUAAGUUGGGAAUUUAUCACUUUUCAAGAUGCCCAGGAUGUUUUAUUUUUUUUCUCUAAAAUCGAGCUAGGCAUUUUCCAGGGGAAUAUUAUACCAUUUGGAGCUGUAUUUAAUUAUCUGCCUAGUCAGGGCGAGGAUUAACUGCAUCUUAGCAACUGGGAAGUACUCUAAGUGCUGGGGGGAGGGGGGAGGGGGAGGGGCUGGUUACAUAGGUAGCUGGAAGCUUCCCGUGAAACAGACCCCGUUUGAUGAAGUGGGCUAUUUUAAGGGAAGAAAGCAGGCUCUGCAAUGACUACUUCUUGACUGCCGCAGCCAAGGCAUUCCUCUUCGAUAAACCUUAACUGAUGAUAGUAUGGCCUUUGCUGGAAUAGUCUGAGUGCCAUUUGUGAAUUCAACCAUCCAAUAAAUAUUUGUUGAGUCCCUGCUCCUUGUUCGGCCAGUGGUUCUCAACUUGGGCUCAACAUUAGACUCAGCUGGGGAGCUCUGAAAACAAACCCAGGCCUGGCCCCAUCAUCUGGAGCUUUAAAAGCUUCCCAGGUGAGUCUAAAGUACAGCCAGGUUGAGACCUCUGUGUCAGGUACCACCAGGAGAUGCUAGGGAUGCAGAUGUGACCAAGACUGACGCUUCUCAUCCUUCAUGUGUUCAGAUCCUUAAAAAAAUCAGGACAUCAUCCCAGAGGCACUGUCAGUCAGACCAGGUAUGCAGGAGGGCAGGUUCCAGGAUCACCCUCAAUAUUAUGCCUGCUGCUCUAACUGUGGGGAGCAUCCAUCUAGAUUUCCAGAAUAGUCUCAAUUUCAGGUCUUCUUUCUGUGAGCCAUAUAUCUUAAAUUCUUCAUUUGGAAAAGCUGGCCUCCAUAGCUAUAGCCAUGACUAUAACUCACAGAUGAUUUCGAUGAUUUCCACCAGGUGGCACAGUUCACCUGGUUUGUCGAGAUCAAGACCGAGCAGAAGGUGCCAAAGGUGAGAUCAUCAGGGACAGCAGUGACCAGGUGAACUGCUCUUCUCCCCUCCUGCAGGGGUUUCUCGCCUCCAGGGUCAGCUGGGACAGGGCUGGACUCCUGCCUGUGUUCCCUGGGUUGGCGAUGGCCCAUGUUUGUGCUUCUGCAGUGGAGGCAGCCACAGCCAACAGAGAGCAGGAGCCAGUGCUUCUCAGCAGCAGGGUUUGACCCAGGACAGCGGAGGCACCGAGCAUUUUCAAAGCAAGUGGCUGUUCCUGCAACUCCUCACCAGACCUCGUGGUCUCACGCCAUCCGAUGCCUUGCCUUACGGAGGCCGAGUGCUGGCGCACGCGAGGGUGUCUGAAGCUUCCGCUGAUGUCCGCAAGUGCCGCUGCAACCCGGAGCCGCAGUUCCCGAGACGGAAGGCUGCCUGUCGCCUGCUGUUUAGAACAUCUUUCUGCACAUUGUGGACUUGUCUGAUCCCAAGAAAACUGGAAAUUUGUGGAAAAUUUCAAUCAGGAACAUAAACUCAAUGUUCUGAUCAAUAAUGCAUAGUCAAUAAAAGAGAGCUCACAGAAGAUGGACUUGAAAAAAACUUGGCUCCCAAGACUGUGGGGAGGAGAAAUGCUUGCUGCGUGUGAAGAGUUACGUAUGCUCUUUGGAAUGAUACGGCUGGUGGCCUAGGAGGCAAAAAGCCUACAGAAGCACGUGACGUCUCGGAGCUGCUCCUUCAGGAGAAGUUUUUAAAAAGCACAUACCACCUGGCUGUGCCCUCGGGAAGCGUAUUCGGCAGGGGUGAGUGGCCCUGCUAAUCCUCCUGCAGUCAGUGCAUGAGGUUCUGAGGCAUCUUUGUUCCAGUCCUGGGGAGAGGAAAACCGAUGAGAUGGAGGAAGGAACAGCGGGGCAAGCAAUGGCAACACAGAGCCAGUCACAGCCUGUGGACUAAAAGCCUCAGAGAGGAGGGACACUGCAGCUCAGGUGGGCACAUUCUCACGACUGCCCUGAGCCCUGCAUUGGAGAAAGGACACGACCCCAAAGUGGAACAUUCUCCUCAGGAGGAAUUGAGCACCGACGAUCCACAGUGAGAAGGGACAGCAUUUAAUGGAACUGUGGUCUCUGCACAAAACCAAAUCAGAAACCAGUUCCCACACACUUGCCUCUUGUUAGAAUAUCCUCCUCACUGGCUGAAGAGAAACUAAGAGAACUCCUGGAAGAGCUGGCUCAGAGAUUUAAAUAGGCCAGGCCAGACCAGACGCACGGCCAGAAUCGCCUUAGAGAAGACAAGACGGUGUGGACUAGGGGCCAGUGAGCAGAGUCGAAAGAUGCCACUGUAGCAAUAAGGAACCUCCAUGGGAUGGGAACUUUUACCUUAAAAUAAAUAUGACUGGGGCUGGGAACAAGCUAACCUUCAUCUUCUGCAGCACAAUCUUUUCCUGUGUAGAUCUUAUUUGAGAAUGUGGUUUUCUUAAAAAUUCUGCGUUUAGGGUCACCCCGCAUUGUCACUGUGAGGGAAGCAGCGGUGAGCGCUGUGCUGCUCUGAAGCCAGGAGAGGGCUGUCCGCUGCCUCUGCCGUACGCGUCCCCGGGAGCACAGCACAACCAAGGGACAGUGCACAGUGACAUAAACCAAUUACAGGAGGCCUAGUCUACAUUUGCUUAAGAUUAAGAGUGGCUUCAAUAAUGCACCUGGCAUUCUAGCGCUACGUUUUAAAAAAACUUCUAAAUUACACCAUUUUACCUCCUAGUGACUCCAGGGAAAGUUGUAAUGAAAUCAAUGAACAGAUUUAGAAUAUAUCUUCAUGCAUUCUUGGUGUUCAAGGUGAAAUAGACAUAACUCGUCCCCCAUAGUGAAGGAAAACCCGGGUGGGCACAGCUCGGCCAGUCACACGUUUGGUUCCUCAGAUCCAGGCUCUCAGCCAAGGAGCCCCAAGGAAGGGGUUUUUCUGGGUGUGCCUGCCUGGAAGGUCAGCGAGCACUGGCUCCAUCUGAUGGCGUCUCUCCUUCCCUGAAGGAGGAAAGCAGGGGCCUCUGGAGUGCUAGGUGUGGGUGAGGCUGGCACACGUGGGCUAUGAGGGAGGGGCCCCACCAGAGAUAGGGGCCUCGACGUGAAGGGUGACCCACUACGCCACUCACUGGCUGUUCCACAUUGUGCAGGCUAUUGAUUUCUCCCUGCCUGUUUUCUUAUCCACAAAAUGGGCCUCAUGGGUGUUUAGAGAGGCUUUUCCUGGCUGUAUUUGCCCUGAAGUCCUCUUUCUCCUCGCUUGGAAAGUUUACUAAUCACAGUUAAAGCAGACUUCUGUGAAAGAUCAAGAAAAUAAAAAGGACCACAGGGCCAGAGCCCACUUGCUGCACUUUGAGUGUGUGAUGAA
rnacentral:lncRNA from 1 species